AUGGUCAGGAACUCUAUCGUAACUGCCACAAGGACCAUGUGGUGCAGCCCCACAAAGACCCUAGUACACAGACUUAUCCAUCACUUUCAAUGCAUCCCCAAGCAGCGCUGGAAGACGAGAACGGUGGCGGAGGCCAUGACCGGCAAUCGCUGGGCGCGCGACAUCCAAGGCCUGCUCGGCCUUCCUGAGAUCGGACAGUACCUGAAGCUUUGGCACUUGGUGCAGCACGUCGAACUGUCCAACGAGCCGGACAAGCUGCUUUGGAGCUGGGCCACCAAUGGCACAUACACUGCCCAGUCUUGCUACCGGGCAACCUUCCAGGGAGCGCCGGGCUGCCACUCCUGGAAGCUCAUUUGGAGGAGCUGGGCACCACCUAAAGUGAAGUUUUUCCAUUGGCUGGCAUGCCAAGAUCGCUGCUGGACCGCCGAGCGGCUCGCACGCCGCGGCCUGCAGCACCACCCACGGUGCCUUCUGUGUGACCAGGAACCGGAGACGACCAGGCACUUGAUGCUCAUAUGCCCAUUCACUAGGCAGACAUGGCAUGAGGUCCUAUCUUGGCUGCGCUUGCCGGCGCCGAUGCCCGAGCACGACGACUCGCUUAUGGACUGGUGGCUGCAUGCGAAGGAGUCCACACCGCCCACACUACGCAAGGCGCUGAAAUCCGUGGCGCUCUUGGUGCCGUGGAUGAUCUGGAAGCAUAGGAACGUGCGUUUUUGA
rnacentral:rRNA from 1 species